GGGUAUAUAGCUCAAGUGGUAGAGCACAUGCUUAGCAUACACAAGGUCCUGGGUUCAAUCCCCAGUACCUCCU
rnacentral:tRNA from 1 species